CCCUUAGAUGUUCUGGGCCGCACACGCGCUACACUGAAGGAGGCAGCGUGUACUCCUGGAUCGAAAGAUUUGGGUAACCCGCGAAUCUCCUUCGUGCUAGGGAUUGAGGCUUGCAAUUAUCCUUCAUGAACGAGGAAUUCCCAGUAAGUGCAAGUCAUAAGCUUGCGCUGACUACGUCCCUGCCCUUUGUACACACCGCCCGUCGCUACUACCGAUUGAAUGAUUUAGUGAGGACUUCGGACUGGGACCGAUGCGGCUUUCGGGCUGCGUCGGUAUUCUGGAAAGAUGUCCAAACUGUAUCAUUUAGAGGAAGUAAAAGUCGUAACA
rnacentral:rRNA from 1 species